rnacentral:rRNA from 1 species
UACGGGGGGGGCAAGCGUUGUUCGGAAAUUACUGGGCGUAAAGGGCUCGUAGGUGGCCAACUAAGUCAGACGUGAAAUCCCUCGGCUUAACCGGGGAACUGCGUCUGAUACUGGAUGGCUUGAGUUUGGGAGAGGGACGCGGAAUUCCAGGUGUGAGCGGUGAAAUGCGUAGAUAUCUGGAGGAACACCGGUGGCGAAGGCGGCGUCCUGGACCAACACUGACACUGAGGAGCGAAAGCCAGGGGAGCAAACGGG